AUUGAACGCUGGCGGCAUGCUUUACACAUGCAAGUCGAACGGUAACAGGCCUUCGGGCGCUGACGAGUGGCGAACGGGUGAGUAAUGCAUCGGAACGUGCCCAGUCGUGGGGGAUAACUAUCCGAAAGGAUAGCUAAUACCGCAUACGAUCUGCGGAUGAAAGCGGGGGACCUUCGGGCCUCGCGCGAUUGGAGCGGCCGAUGUCAGAUUAGGUAGUUGGUGGGGUAAAGGCUCACCAAGCCAACGAUCUGUAGCUGGUCUGAGAGGACGACCAGCCACACUGGGACUGAGACACGGCCCAGAGUCCUACGGGAGGCAGCAGUGGGGAAUUUUGGACAAUGGUCGCAAGCCUGAUCCAGCAAUGCCGCGUGCAGGAAGAAGGCCUUCGGGUUGUAAACUGCUUUUGUACGGAACGAAACGGUCAGGGUUAAUACCCUGGGCUAAUGACGGUACCGUAAGAAUAAGCACCGGCUAACUACGUGCCAGCCGCCGCCGUAAGAC
rnacentral:rRNA from 1 species